rnacentral:rRNA from 1 species
AUUGAACGCUGGCGGCAUGCUUUACACAUGCAAGUCGAACGGUAACAGGUUAAGCUGACGAGUGGCGAACGGGUGAGUAAUGCAUCGGAACGUGCCCGGUCGUGGGGGAUAACGCAGCGAAAGCUGCGCUAAUACCGCAUACGAUCUGAGGAUGAAAGCGGGGGACCGUAAGGCCUCGCGCGAUCGGAGCGGCCGAUGUCAGAUUAGGUAGUUGGUGGAGUAAAGGCACACCAAGCCGACGAUCUGUAGCUGGUCUGAGAGGACGACCAGCCACACUGGGACGGAGACACGGCCCAGACUCCUACGGGAGGCAGCAGUGGGGAAUUUUGGACAAGGGGCGCAAGCCUGAUCCAGCAAUGCCGCGUGCAGGAAGAAGGCAUUCGGGUUGUAAACUGCUUUUGUACGGAGCGAAAAGGCUCUCUCUAAUACAGGGGGCUCAUGACGGUACCGUAAGGAUAAGCACCGGCUAACUACGUGCCAGCCGCCGCCGUAA